rnacentral:lncRNA from 1 species
ACAUCUUUAGUAGAUAUGGUAGCAUUGGGAGGAUGAGAGCUGAUAGAGGAGAAUUGGAUGCUGUUGAAGCAAGAGAAUUUUUCAACAGGUAUGGAGUUCAAUUGAAGUUGACUACUUCUUAUAAUCCUGAAGCCAAUGAAAAGAGUGAGAGGGGUCAUCCUCCUAUCAUUUAUGCAUUGGUUAAGGCAUGUAAAGGUAAGUCAAUUCAAUGGCCUAAACUGCUUCCAUUUGCUUUAUGGACUAAUAGAACUACUCAGAGUACUGUCAUUGGUUAUAUGCCCAUGGAGUUCAUGUUAGGACAAAAACCUAUGAUGCCAGUUGAAGAAACCUAUCUUACAUAGAUAUUUUUAUCUUGGAAAGAUGAUAUAAAUAGAGAAAGAUUAUUGGAGCUUCGAAUCCAACAAUUGAGUAGGUUACUUGAAGAUCUACAAAUUGCAGCUGAGAGGUUAAAGAAAGCAAGAUUGAAAAAUAAAGAAAGAUUUGAUAAGAUUCAUAGGUUGAGACCUAAGCCUAUAGAGAUUGGAGAUAAGGUUCUAGUUUAUGAUAGUAGCCUUGAGCAUCAAUAUAGUACUAUAAAGAAAUUUGUAAAAAAAUAGUUUGGACGAUAUGUGGUGGUUACAGUACAUGAUAAUGCUACGUAUACUUUACGUGAAUUAGAUGGAGCUAUCAUAAGGAAUCCAAUAGCAGAAAAGAGGGUGAAAACUUUCAAGAAAAGAAAUGGGUUAUUUCAAAUAGAAGACCUUCAAGAAUUCUUACCUCAAUAUUUAGACCAAGAAGAU